rnacentral:lncRNA from 1 species
AGGGAACUUUGUCCUCCACCAACUGUCCUUUCUGUCCCAAUCUGUUGUAACCAUACAAAGGGGCCACAUUUCUGUACCUGCUUUUCCCUCAGAGCUUAAUGUGGCACUCUCUGGAAAGCUGCCCCUUCCUGGAGCAUGGACCCCCUGCAUCAGGGCCAUGCCCUUUCCCACUGCAGGGAUGGUGAGAGGCUUCACUUCCAACUCUGAGAGAUACAAUUCCCCAAGAGUUUCUCAGUAAGUGGAGCCAAGAUUGAGACAGCAGUCUCCCAUGCCUACUACCCUGAAGAUAAGGCCAGUUUCAUGGGCAUGAAACCUACACAGUCACAUAGCCCUGUGCUCAGAAGGACCCUAUGUGUGGCCCUCCUGUUGCCAUCUUGAAAUUCUUAAUUUUUUAAUUAGGGCCCCAAAUUUUCAUUUUUCACUGGACCCUACCAGUUACAGAACUAGGCUUGCCCAGAAGUUAUUCCCUGAGGUUUGUGGCAAAACAGUGCCUAAAACCCUCUGCCAGAUUGAUCACAGCCCCACACAGAGCAAUCCUGGCCAUGCCCUAUCUACUCUAUUGUGUGGACAAUAGGAAAGAAGAAGGAUAAGUAGAAUAAAUGUCACAAAGAAGGAUAAGAAGCAGGGUGCUUUGAUCAUGUGAAACCACAAAGACAUGGUCAAGUAGAGGUACAACCACUAAAAGCAGAACCGGAUGCUGCUCAGGAUCCAAACCCUCUAGACCAAGCACUGGUCUAUUCUCAUGCUAACUCACUCGCUUAUUGUCCAAAACCCCACCAGGACACUGCGAUGGAUCACUCAAAGGAGGAGAAGGAGCUCUGUGAGGUCAUCUAACUCCAGGCUUUGUGUGUUCAGAGUCUGCAACUCCCAAUGUCACCGGCACGUGCCAAGGCCAAAUACACCAGCAAAAACUGCAGAGCUGGAAAUGGGAAUCAGAGACACAAGAAUGUAUUGCCUGCGAGGAUCCCUUCCGAUGUAUUCAUUUCUGUGGCUUCUUCACGCCGGGCCGUUACAAAAAAACAAGAAAGCCAAAACGCAGCAGCUCCUAGUUAUUUGCCGCUCUUCGAAUCAACACGUUUCUUAGGUUGUUUUAAGCACUGUCUGUUCCAAUAGGCAGAGGUUGUGCUCCUGCUGCUGAGCUCAAAACUCAGCAUCUGAUUAAAGCGUCUGGACGCCGUGUCCAGCGGGGCAAGACCACUGAUUCCUGAAGACGUCACGUGCUGCUGCUUUACCUGGACGGCGGAAGCCUGGCAGCCUCCAGAAGCUGCUUCGGAACAACGGGAAGAACGUGUUGCUUAACUGGGACAGAAAGCCACCAUUUUCGUUAAAAACGAAAACAGGGGCGCCUGGGUGGCGCAGUCGGUUAAGCGUCCAACUUCAGCCAGGUCACGAUCUCGCGGUCCGUGAGUUCCAGCCCCGCGUCAGGCUCUGGGCUGAUGGCUCAGAGCCUGGAGCCUGUUUCCGAUUCUGUGUCUCCCUCUCUCUCUGCCCCUCCCCCAUUCAUGCUCUGUCUCUCUCUGUCCCAAAAAUAAAUAAACGUUGAAAAAAAAAUUAAAAAAAAAA